AUUGAACGCUGGCGGCAGGCCUAACACAUGCAAGUCGAGCGGCAGCGGAAGGAAGCUUGCUUCCUUGCCGGCGAGCGGCGGACGGGCGAGUAAGGUAUGGGGAUCUGGCCGAAGGCGGGGGAUAACCACUGGAAACGGUGGCUAAUACCGCAUAAUCUCUAAGGAGCAAAGUGGGGGACCGUUCAGGCCUCACACCUUCGGAUGAACCCAUAUGAGAUUAGCUAGUAGGUGGGGUAAAGGCUCACCUAGGCGACGAUCUCUAGCUGGUCUGAGAGGAUGAUCAGCCACACUGGGACUGAGACACGGCCCAGACUCCUACGGGAGGCAGCAGUGGGGAAUAUUGCACAAUGGGCGCAAGCCUGAUGCAGCCAUGCCGCGUGUAUGAAGAAGGCCUUCGGGUUGUAAAGUACUUUCAGUCGUGAGGAAGGUGUUAAGGUUAAUAACCUUAGCAAUUGACGUUAGCGACAGAAGAAGCACCGGCUAACUCCGUGCCAGCCGCCGCCGUAA
rnacentral:rRNA from 1 species